rnacentral:rRNA from 1 species
ACGGAGGGUGCGAGCGUUGUUCGGAUUUACUGGGCGUAAAGGGCGCGUAGGCGGUUUGUUAAGUUAAGGGUGAAAUCCCAGGGCUCAACCCUGGAACUGCUCUUAAAACUGGCAGACUAGAGACAGAUAGAGGUGAGUGGAAUUCCUGGUGUAGAGGUGAAAUUCGUAGAUAUCAGGAGGAACACCGGAGGCGAAGGCGGCUCACUGGAUCUGUUCUGACGCUGAGGCGCGAAAGCGUGGGGAGCAAACGGG